rnacentral:rRNA from 1 species
AGCAGCCGCGGUAAUUCCAGCUCCAAUAGCGUAUAUUAAAGUUGCCGCAGUUAAAAAGCUCGUAGUUGAAUUUCGGGACCAAUAUGUCGGUCGUGCCUCGGUAUGUACUGGCAUCGUUGGUCUCUCCCUUCUGACGAACCAUGAUGUCAUUUAUUUGGUGUCGUGGGGAAUCAGGACUGUUACUUUGAAAAAAUUAGAGUGUUUAAAGCAGGCUCACGCUUGAAUACAUUAGCAUGGAAUAAUGAAAUAGGACGUUUGAUUCUAUUUUGUUGGUUUCUAGGAUCGACGUAAUGAUUAAUAGGGAUAGUUGGGGGCAUUAGUAUUCAAUUGUCAGAGGUGAAAUUCUUGGAUUUAUUGAAGACUAACUUCUGCGAAAGCAUUUGCCAAGGAUGUUUUCAUUAAUCAAGAACGAAAGUUAGGGGAUCGAAGACGAUCAGAUACCGUCGUAGUCUUAACCAUAAACUAUAGCCGACUAGGAAUCGGACGAAGUUAAUUUUUUAAGUGUACUCGUUCGGCGCCG